AAUUAACUUCAGCCAUGAAGGAGAUAGUGGCUAUGACAUUUACCUCUUUAGCAAAACCAUUUCUUUGCCUUGAACAAAAUGGGUGAGUUUGAGAACUUGGGAUCAGCAGUUCGUGGUUCCUUAUACGUCACCGUCCUUCGAGGUCCACUCACUGCAGCUAGUUGCCGCGUCAAUCAACCUCACGGUCAGGCUGUCGAUUACUUCCAACGCCAUUAAAGCUUGCUGGAGGAUUUUACAUUGGUUUGUAUGUGGGUUCAAUAUUGUAAACAUCCAAGUAUAUUAAGGGAGAUGGUCUUUCUCAUUCACUCCUUUUUAAAUUCUCUUGACAUAAAGGCUGCAUUGGUACGGCUGGAAUCUCAUCACCUGGUCAGAUCAAAAUGAGUUCUCUCAUGCGAAUGAGUGCAAUGGAGCUAUGCACUAUUUCUAGGUUGGAGCAAAGUUCAUCCUUGUAUAAGUAUAACUAUUGUUGUUUUAUGGGUCAUACAAUAGUUGUAACAAUUGUGCUGAUGACCCCAUUUCCUUCCCACACACUAAACAUUGAUGUAUUUCCAUGUCCUUCUCUAAGUAGUGGAACAUGCGUGAAUUAACUAUAUAUGAACACUAGAAAUUAUGUUAUAUAGUUGUGAGUGUAUUUUGGAGUAA